UACGUAGGGGGCUAGCGUUGUUCGGAAUUACUGGGCGUAAAGCGCGCGCAGGCGGCCUUUCAAGUCAGUGGUGAAAGCCCGGAGCUCAACUCCGGAACUGCCAUUGAAACUGUUUGGCUUGAGUACGAGAGAGGUGAGUGGAAUUCCCAGUGUAGAGGUGAAAUUCGUAGAUAUUGGGAAGAACACCGGUGGCGAAGGCGGCUCACUGGCUCGUAACUGACGCUCAGGCGCGACAGCGUGGGGAUCAAACAGG
rnacentral:rRNA from 1 species